GCAAUGGUGAUUCUGUGGUAGAAUUCUCACCUUCUGUUUGGGAGACCCGGGUUUGAUUCCCGAUCAGUGUA
rnacentral:tRNA from 1 species